AAUUUCCCGCGUCAUGCACGCCCACGCACGGCCAGCGACGAGCCCCUCCCGCCUCUGCCCUCCGUCUCAGUUCGAGUCGAAUCGAAGGGCGAGGCUGAUCGAUUGAUGCAUGGGCGAGGCGAAUUGGUGGAGGUGUGCUUCCAGGGACGAAGGGUGCGUGCCGCUAGCGACAGACGUCUAGACGCCCUGUCGAUCGAUCUGGAGGUGGGGUUCCCUGGUAGGCGAGGAGGGCUUCGUCUCGUAAGCGCGGGAUGUUCAUGAGGAGCAGCAGCUCAUCAGAUUGAUGAUUAGUGGUCAGCGUCACUGGGAUUUAGGCUUUGAAGAAAGAUCUCCUAAGGCAUAUCAAGAUACUCUGUGCCUUGCCCUGGCACGGGAUAAUCCUUCACGUGGCACAGACUACACCACCGGCAACCUCGUCCAUGGCGCACUCACCUCCCUAAGACUAUUUACUAAACAGAUUGCCAUGCGUAACCCCGCCGAUCAGAGCUCUCCUGUGCCCAUAUCCUGUUGUUUCCAGUAGACAUCCUUGG